UGGGAAUUUGAGUAAGACUUGAGAAAAAA
rnacentral:piRNA from 1 species